rnacentral:rRNA from 1 species
UCGCCUACCGAAUUCCCCUGCAGCGACUCUAAAGAACUGUUCCAGUCGCCCCAAGCAGAUGGGGUUGGCAACGCUAUCAGUCUGCGCUGGGAGCCCCCCGUCCUAGGGGUCGACCAGCAGCUCCAGGGAACCCCUGAGUCCACAGAUCAAACGCCAGCGGCCACUUCCUAUGUGGUUUAGAUAUGACCGGCCCCAGCCGCUGACCGGCUGGGAAACUAUUGCGGAACCUGCGGAAGGAU